rnacentral:rRNA from 1 species
UACGGGAGGCAGCAGGGGGAAUAUUGCACAAUGGGCGCAAGCCUGAUGCAGCCAUGCCGCGUGUAUGAAGAAGGCCUUCGGGUUGUAAAGUACUUUCAGUCGUGAGGAAGGUGUUAAGGUUAAUAACCUUAGCAAUUGACGUUAGCGACAGAAGAAGCACCGGCUAACUCCGUGCCAGCAGCCGCGGUAAUACGGAGGGUGCGAGCGUUAAUCGGAAUUACUGGGCGUAAAGGGCACGCAGGCGGUUAAUAAGUUGGAUGUGAAAUCCCCGGGCUUAACCUGGGAAUGGCAUUCAAGACUGGUUAGCUAGAGUCUUGUAGAGGGGGUAGAAUUCCAUGUGUAGCGGUGAAAUGCGUAGAGAUGUGGAGGAAUACCGGUGGCGAAGGCGGCCCCUGGACAAAGACUGACGCUCAUGUGCGAAAGCGUGGGGAGCAAACAGGGAUUAGAUACC